rnacentral:lncRNA from 1 species
CCCCUCCCCUUUCCCAGGUGAUUGCGUUUGGGUGCUGGGUGGGGACAAAAGGUAUAUGAGCCCCAGGCAUGCCAUCAGAGAGCUCCUUCUGCCUGGGCUGCUCUCUGGGGUAAGUGCUUUGCUUUUCCUUCAGUCAGUUGCAGGGUUCUCUAGGCAGGCUGGAGCCUAUGGAUUUCUGGAUUUUAAGUGCUUGGAAUUCACUUAGUAGAGGGAUGUUUAGUAGGGGCUGCUGGCUCACUGUUUUUUUGGGAUGGUGGGAUACUCUUCUGUUUUUGAGCUAUAUUUUAAUAUCUAGAUGUAUAAACCCACUUGUGUAACUCUCCAGAGGACUAAAACCAGCUUGACUGCAUGCUACAUGUGGCUUGGCAGUGUAGAUGCAGCAUUACUAAGAGACUGAGCAGGGUUGUAUCAGAGUCACCUCUUUCAUCUGCGUAAGUCUGUGACUACCCCUUCCUGGGCUGCUGUGUGUGCAUGUCUUUUUGGCAUUUAUGGAGCUCUGUUUUUUUUUUUGUGUGUGUGUGUAUGUUCAAAGUUUUUUUUUUUUUUUUUUUGAGGGGCAAAUAGCGUGUUUGCUGAGCGUGGUUGGCAGGAGGAGGUGGGGAGCUCCUCAGGACUGGUAGGUUUGGUUUCUAGGAAUAUGAAGCAUCCUUCCUGUGCAAUGCAACUGAUUGUUGGGCGGGAAUGUACCAGCUUGUGUGUCUUAAGCAAUGUAGGUUGUGUACUGUGUGUUGUGUGGCCCGGGCAGAGUUUGCUGUGGUGCUGUGAGCGAAGAAUCUCAGUUAUAGCUGGUGAGCAGCUGAAGUACCGGAGCUGGGAAGAGAGGCAUUGCAGCAGGUACGCUGUGGCUGUGAGGUGCCUCAGAGUGUGCUUUUCUCCUGUCUUUGCAGGUGCUUUGUGCAGUCGUGGACAGGGAAGGGAAAUCCUCAUGUCACGAAGCACUGAGGGAAGGCUGCAAUGCAGUGUGCAGUGCAGGAUGUCUCAACCAGCUGCCUCUGCAGUGACUCUGGUGGAGUGGAUGAUAGUGGCUGCACUGUUGGAGCUUGGUUUCGGAGAGGAACAGGUGAGCAGAACCGUAUGUUGCAUCAGCAGUAGUCAGCAUUGUGGAGAAGGUGGGCAUCAUGGCCGACGUGCUAGUGAAUGCUGGUACUCUGUUUUUUGCAGCUGAUGAUGAGCCUGGCAAUUGACUAAGAUGACAAUCGGUGCCUGUGUAUUUCUUGAGGUGGAAGGAAUUUACCAUCCAACAACCUGAGAGCUAAGUUGGGGGGCGCCUGGUAUUUGCAUAUCUGGGGUGGCUAAUGGGAGCUGGGAGCCAGAGCAGCAUGGAGCCAGCUGGCUGAAUAGACUUGGUGCCACUGUGAGGGUGUUUCAGGCUGGGUCACGUUCAGGCUGCUUGUGGCUGGGUCACCAGGCUAAUAGAAGCAGCGGGAUUAUUUCGUAGCGUGAGUGCGUGUGCCAGGCAGGACAGUUUCCUUCAGUUUGUCUGUCUUGUGGUGUUGCUUCUGCAGUGUGUGUUGUGAGUUAUGGUCUCCUUCGGUCUUGAUAUCCUCAUGGGUUUUGACACUGGACUGACCAGACAGGCGACUUGGUAGCUGUGCUGAAGGGCCUCAAUGCUUGUUUUGUCAUCAUGGCUCUGAUCCGAGCACUUCUUGUCUUGCAGUCGCUGCUUGAAGUGUAGAUGUGUUUCAGGUCUUGUUCAUUGUAUUCGGUUUGAGAUCACAUCUGUUUCCAUCCUCACUCUUGCAGAAGUCAUCUGGGGCACAUCAGGAGCCUUUGCUUGGGAAUUGAUUUCCUCAGUGUCUUCUUAGGGGGUUUUCACUCCCCAUCCUUCUGGUCUCUUGUCUUGAAGGCAGGCUUUUUAGGCCUCCAUCAUCCCAGUUCUGGCAGUUCUUCCAGUCACAUGUUGAGACGUUUGAGUGUCUCCUUGGGUCUGGUGUAGAGCACCUGUUCUGACUUGCUGUUGCCAUAGGGCUUCCCUCUGGGGUCACUUUUUCUUGCGCCUCGUGUUGUGUGUUUUGUUUGUAGUGUUCGUGGCGUGCUUGUGUGUGUAUGUGUUUGGUCUGGAGCUGUCCUGCCUGGCAGUUAGUGAUUAACAUGGCAGGUCAUGGGUGUACUAAUACAUUGUCUGGACUGUGUUUUCGAAGACAUCUGGUCUGCCUCUGGGCACG